rnacentral:rRNA from 1 species
AAACCAACAGGGAUUGCCUUAGUAGCGGCGAGUGAAGCGGCAAAAGCUCAAAUUUGAAAUCUGGCACCUUCGGUGUCCGAGUUGUAAUUUGAAGAUUGUAACCUUGGGGUUGGCUCUUGUCUAUGUUUCUUGGAACAGGACGUCACAGAGGGUGAGAAUCCCGUGCGAUGAGAUGCCCAAUCCUAUGUAAGGUGCUUUCGAAGAGUCGAGUUGUUUGGGAAUGCAGCUCUAAGUGGGUGGUAAAUUCCAUCUAAAGCUAAAUAUUGGCGAGAGACCGAUAGCGAACAAGUACAGUGAUGGAAAGAUGAAAAGAACUUUGAAAAGAGAGUGAAAAAGUACGUGAAAUUGUUGAAAGGGAAGGGUUUGAGAUCAGACUCGAUAUUUUGUGAGCCUUGCCUUCGUGGCGGGGUGACCCGCAGCUUAUCGGGCCAGCAUCGGUUUGGGCGGUAGGAUAAUGGCGUAGGAAUGUGACUUUACUUCGGUGAAGUGUUAUAGCCUGCGUUGAUGCUGCCUGCCUAGACCGAGGACUGCGAUUUUAUCAAGGAUGCUGGCAUAAUGAUCCCAAACCGC